rnacentral:rRNA from 2 species
CCUUUUGUAUAAUGGGUCAGCGACUUAUAUUCUGUAGCAAGGUUAACCGAAUAGGGGAGCCGAAGGGAAACCGAGUCUUAACUGGGCGUUAAGUUGCAGGGUAUAGACCCGAAACCCGGUGAUCUAGCCAUGGGCAGGUUGAAGGUUGGGUAACACUAACUGGAGGACCGAACCGACUAAUGUUGAAAAAUUAGCGGAUGACUUGUGGCUGGGGGUGAAAGGCCAAUCAAACCGGGAGAUAGCUGGUUCUCCCCGAAAGCUAUUUAGGUAGCGCCUCGUGAAUUCAUCUCCGGGGGUAGAGCACUGUUUCGGCAAGGGGGUCAUCCCGACUUACCAACCCGAUGCAAACUGCGAAUACCGGAGAAUGUUAUCACGGGAGACACACGGCGGGUGCUAACGUCCGUCGUGAAGAGGGAAACAACCCAGACCGCCAGCUAAGGUCCCAAAGUCAUGGUUAAGUGGGAAACGAUGUGGGAAGGCCCAGACAGCCAGGAUGUUGGCUUAGAAGCAGCCAUCAUUUAAAGAAAGCGUAAUAGCUCACUGGUCGAGUCGGCCUGCGCGGAAGAUGUAACGGGGCUAAACCAUGCACCGAAGCUGCGGCAGCGACGCUUAUGCGUUGUUGGGUAGGGGAGCGUUCUGUAAGCCUGCGAAGGUGUGCUGUGAGGCAUGCUGGAGGUAUCAGAAGUGCGAAUGCUGACAUAAGUAACGAUAAAGCGGGUGAAAAGCCCGCUCGCCGGAAGACCAAGGGUUCCUGUCCAACGUUAAUCGGGGCAGGGUGAGUCGACCCCUAAGGCGAGGCCGAAAGGCGUAGUCGAUGGGAAACAGGUUAAUAUUCCUGUACUUGGUGUUACUGCGAAGGGGGGACGGAGAAGGCUAUGUUGGCCGGGCGACGGUUGUCCCGGUUUAAGCGUGUAGGCUGGUUUUCCAGGCAAAUCCGGAAAAUCAAGGCUGAGGCGUGAUGACGAGGCACUACGGUGCUGAAGCAACAAAUGCCCUGCUUCCAGGAAAAGCCUCUAAGCAUCAGGUAACAUCAAAUCGUACCCCAAACCGACACAGGUGGUCAGGUAGAGAAUACCAAGGCGCUUGAGAGAACUCGGGUGAAGGAACUAGGCAAAAUGGUGCCGUAACUUCGGGAGAA